rnacentral:rRNA from 1 species
AGAGUUUGAUCCUGGCUCAGAACGAACGCUGGCGGUAUGCCUAACACAUGCAAGUCGAACGCGAACGGAAUCUUCGGAUUCCAAGUAGAGUGGCGCACGGGUGAGUAACACGUGGAUAAUCUGCCCUAAGGUCAGGGAUAACACUUCGAAAGGGGUGCUAAUACCAGAUAAGCUCACGCCUUCUUUGGAAGAAGUGAGAAAAGAUUUAUUGCCUUAGGAUGAGUCCGCGGUCCAUUAGCUAGUUGGUGGGGUAACGGCCUACCAAGGCUGCGAUGGAUAGCUGGUCUGAGAGGAUGAUCAGCCGCACUGGAACUGAGACACGGUCCAGACUCCUACGGGAGGCAGCAGUGGGGAAUUUUGCGCAAUGGGGGAAACCCUGACGCAGCAAUACCGCGUGAAGGAUGAAGGCCCUUGGGUCGUAAACUUCUGUCAGAGGGGAAGAAAUACUCGCAAGAGUGCUGACGGUACCCUCAAAGGAAGCACCGGCUAACUCCGUGCCAGCAGCCGCGGUAAUACGGAGGGUGCAAGCGUUGUUCGGAAUUAUUGGGCGUAAAGAGCAUGUAGGCGGUCUGUUAAGUCUGGUGUGAAAGCCCGGGGCUCAACCCCGGAAGUGCAUUGGAUACUGGCAGACUUGAGUAUGGAGAGGGAAGUGGA